UCGGGAAUUUUGGGCAAUGGGCGAAAGCCUGACCCAGCAACGCCGCGUGAGGGAUGAAGUAUUUCGGUAUGUAAACCUCGAAAGAAUGGGAAGAAUAAAUGACGGUACCAUUUAUAAGCUCCGGCUAACUACGUGCCAGCAGCCGCGGUAAUACGUAGGGAGCAAGCGUUGUUCGGAUUUACUGGGCGUAAAGGGCGCGUAGGCGGCGCGGUAAGUCACUUGUGAAAUCUCUGAGCUUAACUCAGAACGGCCAAGUGAUACUGCAGUGGUAGAGUGCAGAAAGGGCAAUCGGAAUUCUUGGUGUAGCGGUGAAAUGAGUAGAUAUCAAGAGGAACACCUGAGGCGAAGGCGGGUUGCUAGGCUGACACUGACGCUGAGGCGCGAAAGCCAGGGGAGCAAACG
rnacentral:rRNA from 1 species